rnacentral:rRNA from 1 species
UACGAAGGGGGCUAGCGUUGCUCGGAAUUACUGGGCGUAAAGCGCACGUAGGCGGCUUUGCAAGUUAGAGGUGAAAGCCCGGAGCUCAACUCCGGAAUUGCCUUUAAAACUGCAUCGCUAGAAUUGUGGAGAGGUAAGUGGAAUUCCGAGUGUAGAGGUGAAAUUCGUAGAUAUUCGGAAGAACACCAGUGGCGAAGGCGACUUACUGGACACAUAUUGACACUGAGGUGCGAAAGCGUGGGGAGCAAACAGG